UACGGAGGGGGCAAGCGUUGUCCGGACUUACUGGGCGUAAAGGGUGCGUAGGCGGCCUGCUGCGUCGGUGCUGAAAGCGCCCGGCUUAACCGGGCGAGGCGUGCCGAUACGAGCGGGCUGGAGCCUUGGCGAGGGUGGCGGGAACUCCUGGUGUAGUGGUGAAAUGCGUAGAGAUCAGGAAGAACACCCGUGGCGCAAGCGGCCACCUGGCCAAGAGCUGACGCUGAGGCACGAGAGCGUGGGAGCGAACCGG
rnacentral:rRNA from 1 species